rnacentral:lncRNA from 1 species
UUUUUUUUAAGUUGCAGUGGUACAUCGAAUACUUAUCCAGCUUCUGGUCUAUAACUCCAUGCAAUAAUAUAUCAGCUGCGUAUAUCAUUUGUGUCUUCACAAUCAGGAGUUACGGCUAUUCUUCUGUGCUAAGGACAAUGAAUCACUUGAUUUCAUUUGUUUCUUCUAUUUUUCAAAGCAAAUAGUACACAUUUCUGCUAAACUGAUGUGAGUCUUGUCUUCUAGGUUAACUCUAAUUCUUGAACUAAUAACAAAGUCAGCAAGAUUAUGUAGCACGCAAGUGAUGUCAAAUGCUCAAAUCGGCAUUUGGUUCUAGACUUAACCACAUUUGUGUACAUCUGGCCUCCAUAUUUUGGAAUGGACGCCUCAAGCAUGGGUUCAUGUGCUUCUGACUAUUCUAUUUGGACAUUUAGAACAAAGAACAUGUUGAUUAAAUCCUAUUUCCUGAUAACAUCUUUUGCCUUAUCAAUUUCCCUCGAUAAUUUGUAGGAAAUGAACUUCCAUCCGACUUGAUACAGACCUUAAUUAGAUGGGUCCCGAGUACUGAUGAGGAGCUCAGGCUUCGACUAUAUACUGGGGAACUCUCACAGCUUGGUCCUGCAGAGCAGUUCUUAAAAGCAAUCUUCGACAUUCCUUAUAUCUAUGAGCGCCUGGACGCAUUACUUUUCAUGGCUGGUUUACCAGAGGAAACUUCAAAUGUAAAGCAAUCUUUUGCCACCUUAGAGGUAAUAGCAUUACCAUUAUGACCUAUUUGGCUUCCACACUAUAUUCAGUUCUGUUGUAUGACUUGUAUCAGUCUUGUUUGAUGCUCUGUAGUCCUUUAACCGAUGAACAUUUUUAUCAAGUAAUAAUAGAGAUUAUCGUAGUGUAGAUGUUACCACUCUUCCUGCACCUUGAUGUUUCUACCGAUCUUCUUAUCUCUGCUAUCUUGGCAUUUAAAUCCUGAUCAGAUGGCUUGUGAGGAGCUUAAAAACAGCCGUCUAUUCUUGAAGUUACUAGAAGCUGUACUUAAAACAGGGAAUCGGAUGAAUGUUGGCACGUUCAGAGGAGGAGCUCAAGCGUUCAAACUAGACACCCUGCUCAAGCUUUCCGACGUCAAAGGAACUGAUGGGAAGAUAACGCUGCUGCAUUUUGUUGUUCAAGAGAUGAUCCAUUCUGAAGGUGUCCGUUCUGCACGGGCUGCAAAGGAGCAGACGGGCAGCGUAUCCAGUGUGGACAACAAUGAUCUUAUUGAAGAGGAAUAUAAACAACUAGGUCUGCAGGCUGUGUCCAGUUUAGGAGAUGAACUUCAAAAUGUCAGGAAUGCAGCAAUCCUUGAUGCAGAUCAGUUGGCUAUGUCGGUAGCAAGUGUCGUCCACAGGCUUGGCAAAACCAAAGAAUUCUUGAACACAAGCAUGAAAAGUCUGGAUGAAGAUAGUGGGUUUCACCGCAAGCUUGUGCAUUUCGUGGAGCAGUCUCAAACUGAUGUUACUUUCUUGCUAGAGGAAGAGAAGAAAAUACGGUCCUUGGUAAAGAGCACUGUCGAUUAUUUCCAUGGGAGGACAGGGAAGGAUGAGGGCCUUCGGUUAUUUGUCGUAGUGCGGGAUUUUCUCGCAAUGCUUGACAAGGUCUGCAAUGAGGUGAAAGAAGCAUCAAAAGUAACUCCAAAGAAAACGAAGACUGAAGUUACUCUGCCUUCCCACACACCCAGGUCUUUUCAAGAUCCCCGGCGUAGUUCCCACACACCCAGGUCUUCUCAAGAUCCCCGGCAUAACCUUUUUCCGGCAAUUCAAAACCGGAGGGCAGAUAGUUCAAGCUCUAGUUCUGAGGAGGGAAGUUAACUCUAAACGAAGGUACUCUGCCUACCUUUUCCUUCCAGCGCUUGGAGGUUUGCCCUUUGAAAACAUUAGUAAGAAGAGAUGGAAAACCGGAGCUAAAGAAAAAGCAAGAGAUGGAAAUUGACGAUAAAGCGAACUCUGGCUUUGGUCACUUGUUGCAGCAACAGAAUAAAAUUGCUGAAGGAAGGCAUUCAUCUUCCAUAACGUCCUUGACAGGCAAUUGUUGCACUUUGGCUCCUAUCAAACAAGCAAAGGUGAUAUUCACGAUCAAGAUGGAGAAGUCGCAACGGAAGCCGUCGAAAGGGGCGGCGAAGAAAACUGACCCCUUAGUUAGGGCGGGCGUGCAGAACAGGGAGGGAGGAAGAAGCAGCAGGCUGGCUGACUGACUGUGACACUGCCUGCUGUUUUUUCGCUUAGGAUUUGUACCAUCACAGAAAGGAGAGGAAUAAAUAUAGUAUUCUUUUAGGGGAAUAAAUGCAGCAUUAGAAAGAAAGAGAUGCACCACACAGGCUCAUAAACAUGAUAAUACCUUUGCAAAGAGCAAAGCUGUAAAUUGUCAUCCUUUCAACUGAAACAUCCUGUGUGUUCGCGUCAUGUGAUUAUAUACUCUGGGCGACUUGGUGUGCCUUUUGCAAUGUGGCGUGAGACCUAGUACCAGAUUCGUGCUGCUGUGCUGUGGUCGAUCUGUACCUACCGUUUCUGCACCGUCUGGAUAGUCAGGGCACUCAAAACAAUGUGCAGCGCUGCUAUAUUAGGAGUGAUAAUUGUUUCGUCUCCCGUGCCAUUUCUUUACAGAAUCCUUUUUUAUCCCAGGUAUUACUAGAUCGCAAGUAUUUCCCGCCAAAUGUCUUGCUCGUGAAAAACAUCGCCACACAUAGUCCACUACUCCCCGCCAAAAUUCCAUUAUCCCUGACUCGAGCCGUAGCACACCUACGUAUUGUAAAGACGAGAGCAUCCUUAGUCUAACAGCUUCGCAGAUUAAUUUUAGUAAGGAUUUCGCAGUUAUAUCGAGUUCUCUAACCAUGAAAGAAUUGGGCAAGAAUAGACGAUGGAAAUUUUCGACCAAGAACAGAGUGGUAGAAAUUGGCAAGUAAGCAAUCCAUAGGUGCAACUUUUAUAUAACGUACUAACAACGAAUUACAAAGGAUGCAACCAUUGUCCACGGCUAGUUUAGCACCGGUACAAGCACACAGAUUCAGAAACUAAUAGCAGUACUACCAUCCUAGAAGUAAAACGCAACACCUAGGCAACAUUUAACUGAACACGCUACUACACAGAACUGGAUACAGCCGAGCACCCACGACCACCGAGGAGGAGUCGUCAUCUAG